GGAAGUCACUGUGGACUGCAGAUCUUGACAGUAAAUAAGAGUCGUCUACAAACACAGAGUGACGUCCAGGUUCUGCUGGAGCUGAGGGGAAGUUCAUGAAUGUUACAGCUGAUGUUUCAGAAAAAAGGAAGAUGUUUGAAAACCAACAAAACACAGAGCACAGAUGAACAAAGGUGAUGUGGCACUUGGAGACUUUAUACCAGAUGCCCUCCCUGUUACUGUGUUUAGAGGAAGAAAAGCAGCACA